rnacentral:rRNA from 1 species
GAUGAACGCUGACAGAAUGCUUAACACAUGCAAGUCGACUCGAGUCUUCGGACUUGGGUGGCGCACGGGUGAGUAACGCGUAAAGAACUUGCCUCUUAGACUGGGACAACAUCUGGAAACGGAUGCUAAUACCGGAUAUUAUGGUUUCUUCGCAUGGAGGAAUCAUGAAAGCUAGAUGCGCUAAGAGAGAGCUUUGCGUCCCAUUAGCUGGUUGGUGAGGUAACGGCCCACCAAGGCAAUGAUGGGUAGCCGGCCUGAGAGGGUGAACGGCCACAAGGGGACUGAGACACGGCCCUUACUCCUACGGGAGGCAGCAGUGGGGAAUAUUGGACAAUGGACCACAAGUCUGAUCCAGCAAUUCUGUGUGCACGAUGACGUUUUUCGGAGUGUAAAGUGCUUUCAGUCGGGAAGAAGUCAGUGACGGUACCGACAGAAGAAGCGACGGCUAAAUACGUGCCAGCAGCCGCGGUAAUACGUAUGUCGCAAGCGUUAUCCGGAUUUAUUGGGCGUAAAGCGCGUCUAGGCGGCAAGGAAAGUCUGAUGUGAAAAUGCGGAGCUCAACUCCGUAUGGCGUUGGAAACUGCCUUACUAGAGUACUGGAGAGGUAGGCGGAACUACAGUGUAGAGGUGAAAUUCGUAGAUAUUUGUAGGAAUGCCGAUGGGGAAGCCAGCCUACUGGACAGAUACUGACGCUGAAGCGCGAAAGCGUGGGUAGCAAACAGG